rnacentral:rRNA from 1 species
AUGAGGAGGCGGAUGGAUCAUUCACUACAGAUUUUUGAACAAAGAAAGGUCAACACAAUACCAUCGAGAAUUCAUGCACGGGACCUGGAUGCGAGAAUUCUCGAUGAUACCAUCAAGAACAGACGUCCUGAAAUGAUGGUAGUUGCCGAUUUGGACGCUGUUUUCCUGCCAUUGCCCGACGAUCUCUUGGUGAAUUUGGUUGAUUCUGGACAUGGUAUCGAGUCCUUUCUUGACAGCUUGCCCAAUAUGUUUCAGGACAAUGUAAAUGUAGAAUCUUCUCAUGGUCCUGCACUUGGAGCAGCAUUCGUGGUUAUGGUUCAAACUGGGGGUAAGUUGCUUGUCUCCCAGAGUACAUUGCCAUCUCUUGGUAUUGGCCGUUUGAGACUUCGAGGAGAUGAUGUCCGUGCAUAUGGAACAGACAAGGAGCAUAUUCUGAGGAUACCAGAAGAUCCCUUCUAUAAACAGAUGGCUGCUGAGUUCACGAAAAAUCAGAUCGCUGUGGAAAUAUUUUCUUUGAGUGACAAAUAUACACCAUCUUCUGGUGAAAGACGUAUCAGGGUGCAUACGGCAGCUGCACCUGUGGUCACAGAUCUUGGUGAGAUGUAUCGUCAAGCAGAUACUGGUGCCAUUGUGUCAAUGCUGGCUAGAAUCGCUGUUGAAAACUCACUGUCUGAUAAGCUGGACAGUGUCCGGCAACAAUUACAGUUAAAGCUUCCGAGAAGUUUGAAGGAAUACCGGAACCUAUAUGUUGUACAACAUCGCAUAGGCGGGAGACUGAUAUACCCAGAAUCAUUAAGAUACUUGCCAUUAUACAUCCUGGCCUUAUGCAAAUCCCUUGCUCUGCGUGGUGGUUAUGCUGAUGUCUCUCUUGAUGAACGCUGGGCUGCUGGUUUCAGUAUGAUGAUACUGCCUGCAAGAAGGCUGCUUGAUGAAGUAUUGACAAUGGAACCAGACAGGAUCGAUGAUGGCUUCACCUUCCUAGUAUGGUUGGGUAGAAUGCUCCAGCCUGAGCUCAUGAACGACAUUCUUGGAGUCAGCCUGUCAAACUUCCCUGAUCUAUCAAAGAAGUUGAGAGAAUGUGACAACAAUCACUCGAGAAACUUCAUGGCAGUACUAAGAACCCUAAGGGAGAGGGAUUCUUCAUGUUACCAGUUGCCCCGCGUGGUACGGCAAGGUGAGCAGCCAAGAGAAGGCUUCCUACUUCUGUCCAAUCUCGUCGAGGAUCAGAUGGCUGAAACAAGCAGUUACAUGGACUGGAUACUCCAAAUUCACCGCCAAACACAGAGCUCAUGA